rnacentral:lncRNA from 1 species
UCACACACAUGAAAAACCUUAUGAAUGUGAAGAAUGUAGGGAAGCUUUCUAUUCUAAGUCAGAACUUACUGAACAUCAACGAACUCAUACAGAUGAAAAGCCCUAUGUGAUGUUUAAUAUUGAUUGCCAACUUGACAAGAUCUGGAAUCAUCUGGGAGACAGGCCUAUCGGCAUGCCUGUGAAAGAUUAUCUAGAUUGAGUUAACCUUCGGAGAUGUCUGUAAUUAUCUUUAUUUGGUUAAUUGAAGUGGGAAGACCUACCAUAAAUAUGUGUGGCACUUUCUCUGGUUUAGGAUUAUGUACUGCAUGAAAAGGGAUGGCACCAUUCUGUAGACUGGAGUUCUAGACGACAUGAAAAGAAGGAAGGUAGAUUAAGCAUGAGCAUGUGCUAUUUUCUGCUUCCUGUUUGGUUGCCACUUGGCAAAAUGCCUCAAGCUCCUGCCACCAGAAUCUCUACCAUGUACGAUUGGAUUUCAUGUGUGAGGUACUGCGAGCCACAGCAAAAAGUAACAAAUAUAGGAAAUUGGUUCUAAGAUGUAAGGCGCUGCUCUGAUAAACUGGACUAGAUGAUACUUAGGCCAUUAGCAAUGGCUUUCAUGGGGAAUGUAGAUUUGGAACUUUGGGAUAAUAAAAUCUUUGAAUGCUAUGCUACAGAGUUUAAUGGGCUACUGUGGUUUAAGUUUAUAAGUGCAGACUGUGGCAGCCUUGCUCACAAGGUUUCAGGGAGGAACAAGCAUUAUCAAGAACUGGGCUAGAGACCACUUGUGUGAUCCUUUGUCAAGAAUCUGGCUUCAUUCAACCUGUGAUCUGAGAGCCUAAAUGAUGAAUUUAAAGGAAAAGUACUCAUUUGUUGGGUGAAGAAAAUUUCCAAAAAGGUAAAUAUUCAGGCUGUGGCACAGCUCCUGGUAACUUCACUUAUAAAAGUUUACAAUGAAAAAGUUCCAUUGCGAAGAAGAUAAAUAAAAAAAUGAUUAAACCUUACAGUCUCUCAAGGAUUAGGAAGCUAAAGCAAGGCAAAGCUGCAGGCAAGGCAGGUAUGGAGGAAGAGGCCCUGAUUAGUAACAGGGAUACCCUGCCCUGCCCCCAGACAAUAGGAAAUGUCUGCAUUGCCCUCCUGCCCCACAGGAAAGGCGUCCGCUUGUAAAAAUGCAGACUCAUUUGAAAGAAGAGAACCGGGAUUGAGAAGUCAGCUCAAGGGAUUCCCUGUUCUCUGAAGACAAGUCCCUAGGGAAGUGUUCCUGUAGGGUCAGCACACUGUAGGCGAUAGGUUUGAUCCAAGAAGACAUUUUAUAUUUCUGACUAGCAACGGCCCUUGGAAGCUUUGUGGAUACGACACUAGUUUCAUAGGCAUGGAAGAUGUAACACUGAGGGGUCAGGUAGAUUUGCUCCAAAGUUUCGGAGAGCAGCUGAGGCUAGGCAUUGUUUGUCAAAACUGGAGUCUCUACAGGAAGGCUCUGAAUGCCCACUGCGUGGACCUGUGACGAUAAACUAUAAUUUGCCAUGGAGACUCCAGUAUAUAAGUGAUGCCAAGAGCAUGGCGUCAUCUACCAAGGAAAGCUACAGGCAUGGAGUGGAGCCAGUUGGAUAGCAGAGAUCAAAGGAUGGGGCUUCUGAAGUACUUUGGAUUCCAGGUGAUUCUAUUACAAGUCUCAGAUGCUGUGGACAUAUUGCAGUAAGAUAUAUUGUUUUCCCCGCUGGGUUUCAACCCUAGUUUUUUUCUUUGGGGAAUGGGAAUGUUUAUGCUUUUAUGUAUUGGAACCAUGUAACUUGCUUUUUGAUAUUAAGGGGACUCACAGAGUAUUUCAGAUGAAACUUGGACUUUGGAUAUUAAAACAGUAUUGGAAUUCUUGAAGACUAGGGAUUUUUAGUAUUGUAUCUGACCCACUUUACAUUAUAAAAUGGCCAUCAGCAUAUGGGGACAAGAGAGGAAAAGUUAUGGCUCAACAAUGAUAAUCAUGUCACAUUGACAAGGAAUACAGUUAUGGUGGCUAGUAUUGUCAACUUGACAGGAUCUGGAAUCACCUGGUAGAUGAACAUCUGAGAAUAUCUGGGAAAGAUUUUCUUAAGUUAAUUGGCAUGGAAAGACUGACUUUAAAUGUUUGUAGCCCUAUUUCAUGGGCUGGGGUCUUAGACUUCAUGUAAAGAAGAAAGAUGGCUAAGAAUGAACAUCGUUCUCUGUUUUUGACUGUGGAUGCCACUGGAACAGCUGCCUCAAACUUCUGCUACUGUAACUUCCCUGUCUAGAUGUAUUCUACCUUUGAACUGUGAUCCAAAAUAAAUCCAUCCUUAAUUUGCUGUG